rnacentral:lncRNA from 1 species
GCACUCCUGUUGCUGCUGUCUUUCCACCUGCGCGUAGCCUCGCUGCAAAGAGCCCUCAUCACGCUGUGUCCUCGACUCAUCACAGAGACGUCGUUUCGAGAAACUGAAAUGAAGGAAGUUUUGAAGAAGAAUGGCAAGAAAUGCAAAUGAAGAUGGUGGUGGGGAUGAUGCUAGUUUUAAUUUCAGCUGGAAAAUGUUCACAAGCUGAGACUACUUUAUUGGCAAUCCUGAGACAGCAGAUAAGAAGUUUGCUUCCAUCACAACAAACUUUAAGGUGAACAUGAUGAUGUCACUUUUAGGAAUGUUCUGCCCAAAAUUAUUUGAUGUAAUCAGUUCUCUGGAAAACUACCACCCUCGAAUAGCUCUAAGGUGGCAGCUGGGACGCAUCUUUGUUCUUUUCCUUGGCAAUCUCUACACUUUCAUUAUUGCAUUGAUGGAUGAAAUCAAUCUCAAGGCAAGCUAUUUACAGGGUACCUCCCUUCACCAUUUUUAGCAUGUAGCAGGGCAAGGAUGAAGAUUUCCAGCCAUAUCACAGAAUUGUCAGGGAGAGAAUCUCUUUUCUUCCUAUACAUGUUCAUGCUUGAGCUGGAAAUGGGAGUCCUGCAGUAGAAAAGGUUGAGAAUUGGUAACACAACCUCAUAAUGCUGUUUUCCUAUUUAUUUAUUUUUUAGUUGGAAGAAGAGAAGAUAGUCAAGUAUAACAUGACAAUAUGGGAAGCCAGUCUACACAGUGGCACUAUUCCAGAAAAUUUGACUGCUCCUCCAAUACAGGUGGACCCUGCAGAUGUCCCCAGAGGGCCAUGUUGGGAAACAAUGGUAGGGCAGGAGGACGAUCAGUGGAUGAUGUCUUAACUACGUGUUACAUAGGUGUGCCACCUCCGCUCGUGGCAUUGCCGAGUUACACUUUUCUGAAAGAUUUUGAUAUUUCUGUUAUUCCCAUGAAUGUAUGCAAUUUGGGUAUUGUUUCCCAAAAUCUGACACCUUGGACUUACUCUUUUCGUAUAGCUAACCUAUCUAAAGCAGGUAUUUGCUUUUGCUUUGUAAAUGCUACCUCUGUUCUGCGGAACGUAACCAAUACCCAGUUAAUUUGUAAUGACACUAUGAAUAUUGCCUAUGUGUCUGCUCACCUGAUGCUACCACCAGGAUGGUUCCUUCUGUGGGGCACUGCAGCAUAUACAUAUGUGCUGGCCAGCAUCACCGGUGGCCCAUGCGCUGUAGGUUGUGUUACUUUAACCAUCCUUUGCUUUGUGACAGAGCAGUGAAGGACCCCACGGCAUAUCCUAGAUGCCAGUUGUAACCCCCAUGUAAGUUUAUUUUCUCAUGCAGAAGCCUUAGGCCUAUUGUUAAGCCUAGCUGGGAUCCUGGGGGUGGUGGCGCAUAAUUACAAUUAGAGCAUGUUGCCUGUGCUUUAGCUCAAGGCUUAAAUUGGGCAUCUAGAGCCAUUGCCUCUCUAAAUAAAGAACUGAGAGCAGUACGGCA